rnacentral:rRNA from 1 species
GAUGAACGCUGACAGAAUGCUUAACACAUGCAAGUCAUUGGCGAAGCUGCGCUUGCGCAGUCUAGCCAAGGCGGACGGGUGAGUAACGCGUAAGGAACUUGCCCUGCAGACAGGGAUAACAGACGGAAACGACUGAUAACACCUGGUAUUGUCAGGCUGGCGCAUGCCGGCCUGAUGAAAGGAGACGCUGCAGGAGAGCCUUGCGUCCUAUUAGCUAGUUGGUGGGGUAACGGCCCACCAAGGCGAUGAUAGGUAGCCGGCCUGAGAGGGUGAACGGCCACAAGGGGACUGAGAUACGGCCCUUACUCCUACGGGAGGCAGCAGUGGGGAAUAUUGGACAAUGGGGGCAACCCUGAUCCAGCAAUUCUGUGUGCACGAAGAAGGUUUUCGGACUGUAAAGUGCUUUCAGCAGGGAAGAAGAAAGUGACGGUACCUGCAGAAGAAGCGACGGCUAAAUACGUG